rnacentral:tRNA from 1 species
GAGGAGAGAACUAGAACUGCUAAUUCAACACCCCGGAACUAACCCCCCGGCC